rnacentral:lncRNA from 10 species
AGCAUCUGUCCUGGGCCGUUGGCCCUUCUGUGGACAGGGCUUGAGCUCUGUAGGCUGGAUUUGAAUUUCAAGUCCUCCUGCUGUGUGACCUUGAACAAGUUACUUAGCCUCUCUGAGCAUCAAAUGGCUUAACUAUCAAAUAAGAAGCACAGAGAAGUCCCCAAGAGCCAGUAGACUCUGGAGGCUGUGAGACCGGGGACUGGGGCUCCUGCAUCCUUAAUGAAGGUUUCAGUCUUGAGUCGCGUCUGGGAGACCUGCUGAAGCAAUGGGGAGCUACUGUAGGCACUAUACCUCUCUGGGCCUUGUUUCCUCUCUGG